UACGUAGGUGGCGAGCGUUGUCCGGAUUUACUGGGCGUAAAGAGCGCGCAGGCGGUCGUUCAAGUCGCGUGUGAAAGCCCCCGGCUCAACUGGGGAGGGUCACGCGAUACUGAUCGACUCGAAGGCAGGAGAGGGAAGUGGAAUUCCCGGUGUAGUGGUGAAAUGCGUAGAUAUCGGGAGGAACACCAGUGGCGAAGGCGACUUCCUGGCCUGUUCUUGACGCUGAGGCGCGAAAGCUAGGGGAGCAAACGGA
rnacentral:rRNA from 1 species